AGUGGCGAACGGGUAAGUAACAUAUUGGAACGUACCGAGUAAAGGGGGAUAACUAUCCGAAAGGAUAGCUAAUACCGCAUACGCUUUGAGAAGGAAAGUGGGGGAUCUUCGGACCUCACGUUAUUCGAGCGGCCAAUAUCUGAUUAGCUAGUUGGUGGGGUAAAGGCCUACCAAGGCGACGAUCAGUAGCGGGUCUGAGAGGACGAUCCGCCACACUGGGACUGAGACACGGCCCAGACUCC
rnacentral:rRNA from 1 species